rnacentral:lncRNA from 1 species
CGUUGGUUGCUCACAGCCGCACACGUGUCCGGUCUCUACGGAAAGUCCACUCGAAGCUUCGAUCUGAUCGGUCUCCUCGAAAGUGCUAGUUUGCACGAAGAUCAUCUUGUUGGCUGAUCUAGAUCCUUUCUUCAAAUCUCUCGAAUCUUUCUAGAAAUUGAAGAAGGAUAUCUGGAGGAGAUGAGGAUGAGAAAGAAGUAUGGAGAAGAGACACUCUUCUCUCUUCUUUUUCUCUCUUGGACACUCUUCUCUCUUCUUUUUCUCUCUUUUCAAACCCUUAGGAACAAACCUAAGAACCACUGCCCCA